CCAGGUCAUUUAGGAAUCUGUAUAAAAGGACCUGCAAACCAGUGCUAUUUACUCGCUUCUCUUGAUUCACUCUUGUGGUAAACCAGGUUCACCUCCAUCACAGCAAGAUGUUUGACAACCUAGACACAACUGAAGACCUCUGGUACAAGGGCCAGUCUGGUUGUUGGGACCCCUGCUACAGAAGGCCAUCUUGGAGUGGCUGUUGGGACCCCUACUACAGAAGGUCAUCUUGGAGUGGCUGUUGGGACCCCUGCUAUAGAAGGCCAUCUUGGAGCAGUUGCUGGGAUCCCUGCUAUUCAAGGUCAUCUUGGAAUAGUUGUUGGGAUCCAUGCAACUACAGAAGGCCAUACAGUUAUGGGCUUGGGAGCUCGUACGGUUCUGGAUUCUGCUACCCUUACGCUUCCCGCUGGGGGCGUAGGGGCAGCUAUGGAAAGUGCUGGCCAUGCUAAAUCCAUCUUGAAUAUCCACGGCACUUGGGGCAAUGAAAACAUGAAAAACAGGAUACAGAUUCACGGCUGACCCAAAGGAGAUGGCUUUAAGCAGUGCUAAGCACUCAGUACCUCCGUAGUUAGAGGGCUUAGCAUUGGAAGAAGGCUGCCUUCCCCAUACAUGUAUUUCCUAUGCUUUUCUUGGUCACUCUAGGAACUUUGCAUUCUCUGCGCUCUUAAGUAUUAAGGCCUCUUCAUGUUGUGAUGUCAUUUAAAAGGAAGCCUCUGUUUCCCUAGAGUCCACUUGCAAUCCAUUGCAGAUCACUUGACACAACCACAGUGGUGUCAAAUGUUUUUGGUGUCAAUGGGAAAGAGAUGCUCUUUUAUCCUUUGCUUCUAACAUGAAACUUGGCUACAUAAACUGCAUCAUGGAGAAGCUGUUUAUUCCCCUCCUUAUAUUGUGCUUUUCCUCAUUUGACAUUGUUCAGUGAGACAACUAGUAAAUAAAUGGAAACAGCUUGGUAGUAAAAGUCAGCAGCUGAAAGAAAGAAGCACACCUUGUACAAAAUGGGCCAGGCGUAGAGUCCCAGUUGUGGUCCUUUGGAAAAGCUUGGGAAUAUUUGCUCUCUCCUCUGUAUUUGUUCUGUGACUGUAUAUUCAAUUUCUUAUGUGCAUUAAAAUUAACAUUACUCUGCAGCAUAA